UGGGGAAUUUUGGACAAUGGACGCAAGUCUGAUCCAGCCAUGCCGCGUGCGGGAAGAAGGCCUUCGGGUUGUAAACCGCUUUUGUCAGGGAAGAAAAGCUCUGGGUUAAUACCUCGGGGUGAUGACGGUACCUGAAGAAUAAGCACCGGCUAACUACGUGCCAGCAGCCGCGGUAAUACGUAGGGUGCAAGCGUUAAUCGGAAUUACUGGGCGUAAAGCGUGCGCAGGCGGUUUUGUAAGUUUGUCGUGAAAUCCCCGGGCUCAACCUGGGAAUUGCGAUGGAGACUGCAAGGCUGGAGUCUGGCAGAGGGGGGUAGAAUUCCACGUGUAGCAGUGAAAUGCGUAGAGAUGUGGAGGAACACCGAUGGCGAAGGCAGCCCCCUGGGUCAAGACUGACGCUCAUGCACGAAAGCGUGGGGAGCAAAC
rnacentral:rRNA from 1 species